AGGUUUCCGAGGUGAACCUGCGGAAGGAUCAUUA
rnacentral:rRNA from 1 species